rnacentral:lncRNA from 1 species
CAGGCCCUUCAGCAGGGACAGGCAGGGCAGGAAGAGGCUGUGCGUGAGAGGGGGACCGGGCUGUACGAGCUCACAGCUUGCGAUGGCACAGAGGAAAACACUGCUCAACUGAGCAACAUCUCCCACCAAAGCAAAGGACAGAACACACUUCAAAACAGAAGGAAACAAAUUCUGAGAGCAGCAAGUAAGCACUGUCCAAGAAAAACAGAGCACUUCAGUUUACAAUGAAAAAUAAAUCACUGAGGCCCUGUCUGUUGGGAAAUGCCUCAAAAAAUCUAAGAACAAAUUGGAGUUGACGUUAAAAUCAAUUCAGAACUACAAAGGACUCCAUUGGUGGAUAGAGAUGCAGGGGAUCUCUGAGCUUGAUAGUCUCAAUGUUUCUGACCUGAAACGAGCUAAGUCACAGCUUUAGCCAUUUACUGUAACACAAAGCUCUUCUAAACAGAUAUUAAACUGC